rnacentral:lncRNA from 1 species
GGGAAUCAGGCUGCAGGGGGUGCAUCAGGGUUUGGUGACAGAGAAUCCACUGGAGGGAUCUAUCACAAGGAGUUGACCUUCUGCAGCCGUGGGGCUGUUUCUUAGACUCUGGUACUUGAAACUUGAGUCAGCAGGGCAGCCACAGGAAGGAGAGAGAGGCAAGAAGUAGAAGAGGAUGAGGAGGCCCUGCAGCCCUGGAGACAAGCUACUGGGACCUCACAGGCUCACAGCACCUCCGAGCGCCCACCUGUGGGGACCCACUAAGGUCUUCAGGGAAGGUGGCAUCUUCAUCAUGGUUGUGAAAACAGCAGCAGAGGUGACCCCGCUGAGUGUGCGCUUACAUGGUCUCCUCAUCUUUGAUCUUCAUUGCGAUGAACAGGCCUCUGUUGUGGCCGCUUUCCUCGUGGGGAAACUGAGGCACUGAGGGUCACACAACUUGACCAAGAUUGAAAGGUGACCCUAGUCUUUGCCCACCGUGUGGUGUGGUGCUCCUAGGGAGCUCAGGGGUUAAUUCUGGAUCAUUUGGAGGGUUCCCACUGUAAUCAGGGCCCCUAGAUUUAUAGAUGGGCUUUUAGUUAAUAGGGUUGUAUAAGUAAGCAAAGGCUAACUGGAAAACCCUCCUGCUCAAUAUCCUUCUUCAGGUGCAGAGCCCCAGUUGCAUUUACUGUGGUGUUAUGUCUGAUCCAAAGACCCCAACACCUGCCUUGUUUACAGCUGAAGGUGGCCAGUGAGUUGUAAACCCUAAGUCACCAGGAGGAGGCUCUUUAUAA